rnacentral:rRNA from 1 species
GAUGAACGCUGACAGAAUGCUUAACACAUGCAAGUCAACUUGAAUUUGGGUUUUUACCUUAGGUUUGGGUGGCGGACGGGUGAGUAACGCGUAAAGAACUUGCCUCACAGCUAGGGACAACAUUUGGAAACGAAUGCUAAUACCUAAUAUUAUGAUAAUAGGGCAUCCUAUAAUUAUGAAAGCUAUAAGCGCUGUGAGAGAGCUUUGCGUCCCAUUAGCUAGUUGGAGAGGUAACGGCUCACCAAGGCGAUGAUGGGUAGCCGGCCUGAGAGGGUGAUCGGCCACAAGGGGACUGAGACACGGCCCUUACUCCUACGGGAGGCAGCAGUGGGGAAUAUUGGACAAUGGACCGAGAGUCUGAUCCAGCAAUUCUGUGUGCACGAUGAAGUUUUUCGGAAUGUAAAGUGCUUUCAGUUGGGAAGAGACAAAUGACGGUACCAACAGAAGAAGUGACGGCUAAAUACGUG